rnacentral:misc_RNA from 1 species
CUUUCGUGCCACGCGAUGGUAGCAGUUGGCCUUCUAAUACCGCGAAACACGUUCCGUGUUCUCCUGAGGAGAGUGUACUGCUUAGAGAAGGCAGUCUGAGCCACGCUUUUUCCCCUGUCUAUUGUGUACGUGCGCGUUUAGAGUAAGAAAGAAUCCGAAAACGUUUCCGACCGUGACCCCUUCUUGAUCACGCUUCUCGCGUUUGUUCUCAUUUCACACUGACAUCCGGCACAUCCGCACUAAAUCACAGCAAAUACCAACAACAACACUGUCGCCGACCUGUGCUUCGAAUAUUCUGAUUACGUACAUCAGUCAAAAUUGAUCGAAUGCUGGCGAUCAGGAAAGACCCCGACCCUGAAAGUCCACGUGUAAACGGGAUAUGUUGGAUUAAAGGACAAUUAACGCUCGUUAACCGGCGAUAAUGCGCUAAUGGAGAACAGUCGCGAUACUCGCGUAUUUUUCACAGCAAAAGGAUGUACGAUCGAUAUUUCAAAGAAAGAUAAGCCGAAUGAAAAAACUGCUGAAGAAGGAGAGGAAAUUUAAAACUUUCGACAUUAUCUCUCAAUUAUAUCUAUACGAUGAUUGUAUUCUCUGCACAUUACUCUAGCAUCGCGGCCAAAAAACUCAUUGUGUCAAAUAUUUUACCAUCGUAUAGAUACAUGACAAAUACAUUGACAAAACUUAAUGAAGUUUUCUAAGAUAUAAUAGAAUCAAAAUGACAAUUAAGCAAACAUAUAAAAUACGACGGCAAUUUUAUUAGGAAUUAUAUAAUAAUUCAAGACACCUCAGCUAGACAAGAUGAGAGGACAGACAGAAACGAGAGAUCUCGCAAAUAUAAUACCCUGACGUUUAAUCGUAUGGUAAAAAUUAACAAAAUCGAGAUCAUCUCGGCAAUUAGUCGCACUUCAGGGUGAUUACGGUCCAAAGAUCGUUGUAAUACGACAUCGCACGGUCAAACAUGAAUGACAGCGAGAUCUAUUUAGUGAACUGGGAAGAAGAGGUACGGGCAUUAAAUAACGAUUUUAGCAAGAGCUUUUAUAACGCAAGUUACUCACCAUUUAAUCACACCUAUGAGGAUCUCUGGGAACUUGCUACGGAUCGAAUAGGUCUUGCGAUCGUUCUACUACUCUUCUCCAUAGCCACCGUUUUCGGCAAUUCAUUAGUGAUCCUCGCGGUAUUUCGAGAGAGGCAUCUGCACACAGCUACAAAUUACUUUGUGACUUCACUGGCUUGCGCUGAUUUCCUGGUGGGACUAGUAGUGAUGCCAAUAAGUGCGGUGUACGAAGUACUGGAAAAUCGUUGGCUGUUCACGACGGAUUGGUGUGAUGUUUGGCGCUCACUGGACGUCCUCUUCUCUACUGCGUCAAUCCUAAAUCUGUGCGUUAUUAGUUUAGAUCGUUACUGGGCAAUCACCGAUCCCUUCACGUAUCCAACUCGAAUGAGUAGGAAACGUGCGGCAAUUUUAAUUGCCAUUGUAUGGAUUUGUUCAAGUGCAAUCUCCUUUCCUGCGAUAGCGUGGUGGCGUGCUGUACGUACUGAGCAAGUGCCGGAAGAUAAGUGUCCCUUCACGGAGAAUCUCGGUUACCUAAUAUUCUCGUCAACAAUCAGUUUUUACCUGCCGCUAUUUGUGAUGGUAUUCACGUAUUACAGAAUCUAUCGCGCCGCUGUGAUACAGACGAGGAGUCUAAAACUCGGCACGAAACAAGUGAUGAUGGCCUCGGGCGAGCUCGAGCUCACGCUAAGGAUACACCGAGGUGGCGUAUCCACCACUAAUACCGACGCUAGGCAUCUCUUUCGUACCACAUCGAGCACACCUGAGGACCUUCAGGAUCUUGAGGAGCCUUUAACGGCUCUUCACAACAAUGGUCUUACUAGAGUGCCCUCCACAAGGAUCAACAAUAGACAACACAUAGGCAAAAAUUUUUCUCUCUCACGUAAGCUCGCCAAGUUCGCCAAAGAAAAAAAAGCGGCAAAAACUCUUGGUAUCGUCAUGGGUGUAUUUAUUAUUUGCUGGUUACCGUUCUUCGUUGUGAAUCUAUGGUCAGGAUUCUGCACGAGGUGCAUAUGGCAGGAAGAAAUCGUAUCUGCGGCUGUUACUUGGCUCGGCUGGAUUAACAGUGGAAUGAAUCCCGUGAUAUACGCUUGUUGGAGCAGAGAUUUUCGUAGAGCUUUCGUCAGAAUUUUGUGCUACUGUUGCCCCAGACGAAUGAAACGACGAUAUCAGCCAGCAUUCAGAUGUAAACCAAGUCAAUAUAUUUCCGGAAUGGCAACAGGAGGGCAAGUGAGUAACGUAAGCUAUAGCAGCGUCAGUCAGAGCAGUGACGGAGGCAUAUGCGUGAGCGGAAGUAGUCUCCCCAGUACCGGUAUGUGACGGCACACAUCGGCCCGAACAGGGCCACGUCGAGAACGAGCAAUUCGAUUCCGUGAUGCGUGACUGAUCAAUAGGGAGUGGCGUGGGUCUAUUGUGCGUGCAUUGGUGGAGCCUGAGUGGAGGGAGCAAGCGGGAGAAGCGGCACGCAGCACUUGCAUCACGAGAGGCGAGUGCAAGAUUGACAAGUCGCGUCCAGUUAUUUUUGUAUACGUUCACCCUACUGAAAAAAAUCACGUUACGCUUGCGUUACCACAUUACUCGGGGAAAAUUCAAUACGUAAAAAUGACAAGUCUGAUGUUGUACCCCUCGUUGUGAGUACGAUUUGGGAUCGCUGCCAGAGAUCUCGCGAAAAAGAUCCAAGUUGCAAAGACGUCCUUGUCGGCCAUUCUUCAUUUAUGUAAUGGUUCGUUCGAUCUCUACUAUCCCAUUUAUAUAGUAAACACGGAUUUUUUGUGUAACCUGAUUGUUGACAAUAAUAUGGUUUGUGUACUCUUCUUUUAUCACUACCGAGUGCGCUACAGGAAUGGAGGGAUAUACAUUAAUAUUGUGCAGCAACACUGUUUUCAAGCUUCUCUUAGAAGAAUCGAUAAAUAUCCAGAUAGCAAGGUGUCGUCCACUGGACAUCAAUAAUUUGUCAUUUGAGGUCGUGAACGUCAUGUUACCAAAUUAAGACGUAAUAGUAACGUCAUUUUUUGACCUAUUAAUUACGUCAGUCAUUUAUUCAUCUUACAACAUAUUUCCGAUGUCAUAUUCUUGACUAAUUAAUAACAUCAGUUAAUUGAUCAUUUUACAACGUAUUAAUAAGAUUUUAUUAGUGACUAAUUACUGACGUAUUAAUUGUAAUUUUCUGUAAUAAUACCCCUGCUCAAAAAGUACGAUAGAAACUGAUAGAAAUUUGAUAGAAAUUUAAUAUGAUUUUAUCUGAAUCUAUCGUUUCUAUCCGGCACUAGAUUUCCUGCCAGAAAAGUUACAAAAUUCUAUCGUUCCUUAUCGUAUCUGAAUUAAACGAUUAAAAUUUUAUUUGAAUACGACUACUUUUCUAUAUGAUCUACUUAGUACUGAAUAUAAAAUUUACGAUUCAAAGUCUAUAAGACUCUAUAUGAAUUAAUCUGAAAUUGUUCCUAUACGUUUCUAUCAGAUAAAUUACAAUUUCGGCGGACAUAAAGUUCUAUCGUUUUUUUAUCGUAUCUGAAUUAAACGAUUAAAACUUUAUAUGAUUAUCUUAAUACGACUACUUUUGUUCACGACCGUGGCGUUUGCGGGAGCAAGGAUGGCGUAAAGUGGCGGGAAAAUAAAAGAAACUCAAGGACGUUAACACUUCACGUAUAAUUAAAAUAUAAAAUUAUAAUAAAGCUCAACUCAAUUGGAGACGCGCUCGCUGCACAAUUCGCCCGAGCGAGAGUGGGCUUAGCGCCGGAAUUUUCGCGGGCACGUGGAUCUCGCGCGAGCACGCGGGAUAUGAGAAAAAUGCAAGCGUACGAACUCGGAGAGCGACAGCGAUCCGAUCGCGAUACUGACUCGAUUUCUGGCUACAGGACGCGAAAAACACUCGCAAAACGCCCCGAUAAAGCGGAGGCCCCCCUUUCCCGUGGAUCGCUAUCGCCCCUCCGAUCGUGAAAGUGGCAAAGAAAUGCCCAUAUAAGGUAAUGUUAUUGCCAUAGGAUUAGCGCCGUCGGUUUUCGCGCCGCAAUCUUGUUUUGCGCGAAACAAAGCAAAGGCCUUUCGCUCGACGGAGAGAAUCCGGUACGCUCGACCCUCAACAACUUUUCUAUAUGAUCAUCUACUUAUCGUACUGAAUAUGUAAUUUACGAUUCAAGUUCUAUAAGACUCUAUAUGAAUUAAUCUGAAAUUGUUCCUAUACGUUUCUAUCAGAUAUAUUACAAUUUCGGCGGACAUAAAGUUCUAUCGUUCUUUAUCAUGUCUGAAUUAAACGAUUAAAACUUGUAACGUGAUAGCCGCAGGCUGCUGUCCGUCACAAGGGUCUUAGUGGCCCUUACGCGUUAACAUCACGCGUCCUCCCGCUCAGGAACGGAUGCAAAAGCGUAUUAUCUCGUGUUUUUGUGUCUGUGAAGUCCCAUAUGUUGUCCGUUCAUUGAUCGUUAAGAUUUUUGCGAGCGCUGCCCUGCAAAUGCGGCACAGCGAUCUAUCUUGUAAUUUUUGAACGUUUCGUCUCGUCGGAGAAUCUUUCCGGAGGUCGCAGAGUAAGCGGACAUCGAGAGAGUAACGGAGACCCUUUUUGAGCGGGGGUCCGCAGGUAAUACCGCCUUUAUCUUGCCUACAAUUUCCAUCUUGUGAGAAUUUCGAUACUGCCGCCGAAUCACGCUUUCAGGAUCCAGCAAAGGCGCGCGAGGCCGGCAUCCCGACGGGGCGACUGCGAUCCCGCAUAAAUUCUGGCGGAGAUAGCAACAGCUUAUAAUCCGUGAACGCCCUCGUCAAGGAGGAGGUAACGCUCUGGUAGCGGAGGAUGCGCCCGGCAAGGAGAGAAAAAUCUGCCGCAGAAGAAAGCGCCAAAAUUCUCGUGCACGGGGCCCAACAGUAUCGACCACCGCGCUUGGAUCGAUCAGCCAGCGACGGCGUGCACGCCGUGCGUUCCGCGAAAAUCGAUUUCGGAAAACCGCAGCCAAUAAAGGCCCGGCGUAUCGGAGGCAAGGUGGGCACGACCGACCGUGGCGCGCGACGAUUUUGGCGGAUUGACGAACAUGUCUGCAAUUGCCGGGAGAUUAUUAACAACGCGUUUAUUUUUGAAGGCUUUCUCGCGCAAUGUCAGCGGAACGAAGAUUUUUAUAAAUCCAUUUUUUGGUCCGACGAAUCAACGUUCACACCAAACGGCGUUUUUAAUUCCCGCAAUAAUGUAUAUUGGGCAGAAGAAAAUCCUCACGUCGUUCGUCAAGGCGUGUUUCAAUAUAGAUGGUCCACAAAUGUAUGGGCAGGAAUGAUCGCGAACCAAGUAAUCGGUCCAGUGUUUCUCCCGCUGCGUCUAAAUGGCGAAAAUUAUUUGGAUUUUUUGGAAAAUCAAUUACCUGUGCUUCUUGAAGAUAUACUGCUACAUAUACGAGCACAGAUGAUUUUCCAACACGACGGAGCUCCUCCGCAUUUUCGCCGAACAGUUCGCGAUUUUUUGAACGCACGUUACCCCGAUAAAUGGAUGGGUUGAGGUGGUCAAAUCAUCUGGCCAUCACGAUCGCCGGAUCUAAACGUACUAGACUUUUUUCUAUGGGGUUACGUAAAAAGUUUAGUCGAAUAUACGCGUAAUGGCGCAGAACGAGAAAUGCGUCAAGAUAUAAUUGACGCUUUCAAUACCAGAGAUGGGCCAUAGAGAAUGGGAUUACCAAAUUAAAAAUGCUCAAAACAAUGAAUAAUUAAAUGUGAUUUAAUUACACAUUAUUUUGAACAUUUGUAAUUAAACACCAUUGAAUUACUAAUUUGUUUGAGCAUUUGUAAUGAAUGUCCAAAGUAAUUAAAUUAUACUAUCGUAAUGUAAUUACAUUUGUGUAAUUUAAUUAUACAUUUGUGUAAUUUAAUUACAUUUGUGUAAUUUAAUUACAUUUGUGUAAUUUAAUUACAUUUUAAUUUUUAUUCGAAUUGUGUUAAUGACAAAGAGAACAUGAGAGUGUACAUACUGUACAUAUUGCAAGAAUAAUAUAUUGUGUAUCUAGCGGAGAAAGCGACAUUUUUUAGACGAGCGUGAAGUUUGCCUUCUGCUUGGGUGGCAAUCAUACGAGUCUGAAAAAAAAGCUUUCUCCCAUGCACAAGAUAUUUUUCAUAAGUGAGUACUUUCUACCCGCUACAUCAACGUAGCAUGAAAGGUCAUUUUCGCCCUGCUCUACUGGCAUCGGAAGUAGGGCUUUCCGUGGAGGUGUGAAAAACUUAUUUUGUUCGCGUCGAACAAAGGUCAAUUUUUGGCUUGUGUGUCUUUUAAGGUCGUUCGCGAGACGCGAGGCGCCCUCGUGUACAGUAUACGACUUAUAGUAAUUGACAUGUAUGUAGAAUGGAUUUAGCGUUGCGAAAUACAAACGCGCGCUUGCUGUUAUAUAAAAAGAGAGAUGCUACACGUUCUAUGAGGCGAUUGCGGCGUUCAAUGUUUUUUUCGGAGAAUGUUUAUCGCGCGGACGCCGUCGGUUCUCACGACUAUUACAAUUGACGCAUAAUUGUAAAAA